GCCCCUAUGGUGAAAUGGAUAUCACGCCGGUCUUCGGAACCGUCGUUCUGGGUUCGAAUCCUGGUAGGGGCA
rnacentral:tRNA from 1 species